CCUACGGGAGGCAGCAGUGGGGAAUAUUGCACAAUGGGGGAAACCCUGAUGCAGCGACGCCGCGUGAGUGAAGAAGUAAUUCGUUAUGUAAAGCUCUAUCAGCAGGGAAGAAAAUGACGGUACCUGAGUAAGACGCCCCGGCUAACUACGUGCCAGCAGCCGCGGUCAUACGUAGGGGGCAAGCGUUAUCCGGAUUUACUGGGUGUAAAGGGAGCGUAGACGGCAGGGCAAGUCUGGAGUGAAAGGCGGGGGCUCAACCCCCGGACUGCUCUGGAAACUGUACGGCGGGAGUGCAGGAGAGGUAAGUGGAAUUCCUAGUGUAGCGGUGAAAUGCGUAGAUAUUAGGAGGAACACCAGUGGCGAAGGCGGCUUACUGGACUGUAACUGACGUUGAGGCUCGAAAGCGUGGGGAGCAAACAGGAUUAGAUACCCGGGUAGUC
rnacentral:rRNA from 1 species